rnacentral:misc_RNA from 1 species
GAUGAAGAACGCAGCGAAAUGCGAUACGUAAUGUGAAUUGCAAAUUCAGUGAAUCAUCGAGUCUUUGAACGCACAUUGCGCCCCCUGGUAUUCCGGGGGGCAUGCCUGUCCGAGCGUCAUUGCUGCCCUCAAGCACGGCUUGUGUGUUGGGCCCCGUCCUCCGAUCCCGGGGGACGGGCCCGAAAGGCAGCGGCGGCACCGCGUCCGGUCCUCGAGCGUAUGGGGCUUUGUCACCCGCUCUGUAGGCCCGGCCGGCGCUUGCCGAUCAACCCAAAUUUUUAUCCAGGUUGACCUCGGAUCAGGUAGGGAUACCCGCUGAACUUAAGCAUAUCAAUAAGCGGAGGAA